rnacentral:RNase_P_RNA from 1 species
CAGGUCAGCCAGACGAUCGCUGGGCUUGUCGUUCCGACAAGCUGAGAGGAAAGUCCGGGCUCCGCAGGGCACGACGCUGGAUAAUCACCAGCGGGGGAAACCCCGGGAAAGCGCAACAGAAAGCAGACCGCCGCCUUUUUGGCGGUAAGGGUGAAACGGCGAGGUAAGAGCUCACCGGCCGGCUGGGCGACCAGUCGGGCCAGGCAAGCCCCGUCGGGAGCAAGACUGAAUAGGGGGGCGUAGGCGGCCCGUCCAGCCCCCGGGUAUGUCGCUUGAGCGUAGGAGCAAUCCUGCGCCUAGAGGUAUGAUCGUCGCCAGCCGCGUCUCAGGAGGACGCGGCCGGAACAGAACCCGGCUUAUCGGCCGACCUUGUUU